GAAAACUUGCCGUUAUUGCAGGUACAGAGGCGAGCAGUCCAUGCAAGUAGGAUAAGCGGAGAAGCGCAAGGAGAAGGAGAAUGGUAGAGAGGAAUUGGGGUAAGAUGAGAUGAGAUGAGAUGAGAUGAGACGAGAUGGGAUGAGAUGAGACCAGAUAAGAUAAAACGAGAUGAGAGGAGACGAGAUGGGACGAGACGAGACGAGACGAGACGAAAUGAGAUGAGAUGAGAUGAGAUGGGAAGAGAGAGAGAGAGAGAGAGAGAGAGAGAAGAUAAAAGAGAGUAGAGAAAAGGAGAAAGAUGGUCGAGUAGGCGAAGAAGAAGCCUAUUUGAUGGGAGGUGGAAGGGUUCGGAGAAAGGAGUUCGCAGGGCAGAUUCCACGCAGAGAUGCGACUCUAGAAGAGUCGAGGGAGAAUGGGGAUGGGAACCGGUGUGCCGAGGUAAGUUAAAUAAACUUGUUUAGUUUCGCGGAAACUUCUGCCUGGCCAUUGUAUUCGACUGCCUCGCUGCCGAGUUUGCUCUGAAACUUUCGAAUACGAACGAACUCGGUUCUCCGUUACGCUUUAUUCGCUUGCUUUACCAACUUGCUACCUACCGUUAGUUACUUCUCUCUCCUUUUCUUUCUUUCUUUCUUUCUUUCUUUCUUUCUUUCCUUCCUUCCUUCUUUCUUUCCUUCUUUCUUUUCUUCUCUUCCUCUUCUUCUCAAGAUCCCAAUGCUUUCUAUAGGCAUAGGCCGUAUAAGCGUACCUCGUUGCUCUAUUUUUUCGUCAUCGCCGUCUCGGCGCUGCGACGCGACCGCGGCGCGCUGUCUCGAUAUCCCAUCACUGCGAACGUUGCCCCCGUAACGUCUUCGCCUUGACCGUUCUUUGUUCUUCGCGUCGCCGCGUUUACGAAAAACAGACGGAAAGAUUUCUCUCUGUCGUUCGCCGUUUCGUCCAGAGAUUAGGCAGAAAAGGGAAUCCGAUCGGAAACAAAAUCGGGCAAAGUGCCCCGUCGCUAGUGUGGCAGCAGACCGAAUGGCUUAUUGAUUUAACGAGAGAGAGAAAGAGGCGAAAGAGAAACAGGAGGAAAGCAAGCACGGGGAAGAACGGGGGAGGCACAGGGGAGCACGGGGAAACACGGCUCGAGGUGGCUGGGGGGUCGCGAGCGGCAGCCUGGGGGAGGUUUGUGGGUGGCUAGGCUGAGACUAGGGAGAGGGUACGGGUACAGGAGAUGGGUAACGCGGAAUAGGCUAGGCGGAGGUGGGGAAGAGGAAGGCUCGCGGGUUCGCUGGCUCGCGAGCUCGGCAACGGAGAAAAGAGUAGGGUGAAGCGCAGGGUGAACCAGGGUGAAUCAAGGUAAGGUAGGGUAAGAUAGGGUCGGGGGCCGAAGAAUAAGGGAUACGGUUGCCAGUGUGCGGUGAUGAAAAGGGCAGAAGGAAAGACCAGAACGAAGCAACGGUAUAGAGACGAUGGUUGGAAGCGAAACCGAAAUCGUCGAGAAACAAUCCGGGACUGGAUAAAAAGCUAAUAACUUGUUUUACCUUCCCGAUCCGAUGCUCUUUCAAAUAUUUUCUCACCUAGGUAUCAUCCGUAUCAUCCGUAUCGCUUCCGACACGUGUACCGACUUGCGCGUACGUAAAUGCACCAGCCGCGUAUAAUACGUACAGCGAUAAUACAUAUCCGAUCUGUGAUUUUCAACUUGUUUGCCUUUUCGCGAUAAACUCUAUAUAUGUCGGAGAUGGAAGGACAGCGGGAUUUCCCGUCCGGAAUGUUGGGAAGAACCCCAAUACCCUAGCCCAGACUUUUACUAUAGCUGCACUUAAGUAAUAAAAAUAAGGAAUAGUUUUAAUGUUCCGAUCUGACUUUGUGACGAUGGGUUCGGGUUCGAAGUGACAUAGCGGGUCACUAGACGUAGCCACGAUCACGGGAGGUGACAGACAGAGUGCCUGACAGAGGUAUGAAACGAUUAUAUGGCUCUCCUUAAAAACAUAGAUUGAUCCGAGAAGUGGGGACAGGAGUAUAUAAGGGCAGCUUCUUUUGGAUGAAGAGAGUUAGUUUGUUAGUUAGUCGUUGGACGAAUUACUGAUCGAGUUAUCGAGAAGUUGCCCGAAUCGAGUAGUACGUUGAUACUUGUCCUCCCGUGGACCGUGGAUUCGUUAUCGAAUCUGAAUUUAUUGUCACCAUCAUCUCGACCAUCCUAUUGCCAUUACUCGUAGCCUCUUGUAGUGUCCACGUUCGUACUGAUAAAUAUUAGCUACAUUGGCGACGGUAAAGUAAGUAAAGGUUCAUCGAACGCCCCAAAAUAACAACCUGACUCCGACAUAUAGAUACAACGUGCUCGUACAAUAGCGAGUCACCGAUUCCACUUUGUUCGAAUACGUAGAAUUCGUUGUGUUUGCAAUUCCCAAAUCUCGUUCGAUUAUCCUUCUUAUUUUAUCCACGACGUUUCCUCUUUUCUCUCUCCUUUUCAUACCUUCGAUAUCACGAUCUUCGUCUCCCUUUCAGUUUUUCGUAACUAUAGUUUGGCUAUUUUUCUUGUUAAAUCGGAGAAUUGGCUGCACAGAGCCUCGCUGGAAUAUCGUAAUAGCAACCGUUUCGUUGAACGACGUUCGAGUAGUAUCGAGGUGGCCGAAUGGUCAUUGGCCGAUCAACAAGUGGCUCAUGAUUUUGUCAGUGGCUCUGCAAGCGACUAACCCCGCUGGCCGGCCUGUUGUCCGACCGUCCGGCUGGCCGACUGUCUGCGUCCGGUUACCCGAUGCGGUCUACCGCUAAAACACUCGUGGCAUUCUCCGACCCAUCUAACUCGUCAUCCAUUAUACUCCUUCGAACCCAUGCUGUUUCGGGAAACCUUGAUCGGUCGAUGUAAUACCAAAAUAUCUGCCCAAUCCAAUCCAAUCCAAUCAAAUUUUCCUCCUUUCGUCGUAUGUUCGACGAGUAUGUAUGGCUUCCGAUCGGAAGCUUACGCUCAUCCGCGAUCAGUUUGCCUCUAGACAACGGCCGAUCAACAACGGAAAACAACGGAACUUUCUAACGAGUAUACGAAGCGUUUCGUACAAUUUCUCGGUUUCCAUAAUCGUUUGCGAUGUUGUUGCCGUCGUCGUUACCGUUGCGAAUAUCGAGGUAUCGAUGCUUAUCGGUCGCGUCUGUUUUGCAAAGCAUCGUGUGCGACACACUUUCUCUAUGAAACAACUUGUCUACGAGCGAAAGAGAAAGCAAGUUUACCAGUAGCGGUCACUUUUCUACCACGCUUAAUUCCUCGGUUCGGCUACGAAAUUAGCUUGUACGGUCGUUGUAACCGUACUCAAAUCGUUUUGAACAUUUCGUACGAAUGGUUGGAAAUAAGCGAGAGACAAGUAUACGGGCAAAGGACGAGCGCACGCGCGUGUGUGUGUCUGUGCGUGCAUGCAUGCGUGCCUUUGGAACGAGCAAGAUAGAAGCCUGCCGGAAGAGACAAAGGAUAGAGAUCGCGAAGAAAUCGAAGGAUAGAAGACGAGGCAAAUGUAUUUUAUUUUCAUCGAGCGGCAGUAACAGCAGCAAACUCUUAAUCAAACGAGUCGCGAUAAGUAAAUUCGAUUACCGACGUUCGUUAGAACGAAUUUACUUUGCGCGCUCGCGAUCAGCAGGAUUUCAAUUUUUGCUUCAACGCGAUAGGUAUAUGUAAAUGUGGUAGAAAUGCAGCACCUAGCCUGUACGUUUGCUUCGAGAGUACACAGACCUACACCCUUUUUUUAUGCUGUUCCAAUCUACGUUUAUUCAUUCUUUUAUGGAUACCAGCUCCCUCGUAGUGUAGGUUCGCCUUUCAUUUUGUUUCAACCACGAGCAGGACCAAAUGAAAAGCUGAAACGGUCAAAGAAGGUAUACCAUCCGAUGCAGAAAUAAAGGUAGCGGCAACGCGAUGUAGCAAGAUCUAUGCCGUUAUACGAUCCGGUGUCGAGGCAUUUUUCACUCUUUAUCCUGGAAACGAGGAGAACGGAAAGAAAACACGAUCCAGAAAUCGGAAGAAGAUGUCGAAAAAAAGACGGUAAACGACUACAACCGGAAAAUGGAGUUGAGAAAGCAAUUGGAGAUAAACGUGUAAAUUGGCCACGGUGACGGGAAAGAAAGGGAUGCUUGAGCCUUCGACCGUGUCAACUCUUCGCGUAUAAGACGUUCAGCUCGAGGAGGUGUGGAUACCGCCUAUACCAAUGUGCAAGUUUACACGAAGAAGAAACCGUGGUUACACUAAGGGGGCCGAGGAGAACGGGUGGGGACCAACUGGCGAAGCCAAAGGAAGAGACGGGGAGUUUGCAAAGUUUCGAGAUUCAAGAGCGCUGCUCUCAAUACGACAAGUUUGUGCAAACAAGAACUUACUUCGAAGGAUGGAUAAUGUCGCAGAUAAAUCAACGAAAUUUAAUAAAUCGACGUCUCUAAGAGUUUCGUUUAAUUGUGUCUUCCUGCGCUCUCUCGAUAAUUUUACCAACUGUCCUUCAUCUUCCUAGUCGCUGCACGUUGUUUUUACACCGAUCACACAGCGAGACAAAAUCGUGUAUGCUUUCGGCAUAGUGAUCGCUACGGGCCACUUACAUAAUAGCUCUUUCCUUUUCUCUUUCUACAAAUCUUAAUCGACAACGAUAGUAGAUUCAUCGCACGACCAUCGAUGCGAAUACUUGACAGCAUCUUUCGUCACUGCGACCACUCGAUAUUGUAUUUUAACAAUAAAUUAAUCUCCUAUGUAUUAUCAUUGAACGAGUCUCCUACGGUCAUUAACUUUGGAAAACCGUUGAUCACUCGUUGCUUCGAUAUUUGCUUCGUAGCAGACAUGUAUUCACAACUAUUACAUAAGCUACAUGUUGACUGGAAAAUUUAGAGAAAUUGCGAUUUCGGUAUCGUAGUAGUAAUAAUAAUAAUAAUAAUGAUAAUAAUAAUAAUAAGGAAAAGGUGUGUAAGAAGAAGAUGAAGAACCAAAAAACAAUGAAACAAGAUAAGGAUAGAAGAAAUAAAAUGACGAAGAAGGAUGAGAAGAAAAUUUAGAAGAAAAAAGGAAAAGGACCAAAAGAGCGAUCAUUCGUUUUCCUUUUAAAACGCGCCAACUUUGGUAUAUUCACCCUUUUCGGGACUAGCUACCCGAGGGAAUCAAUAACCGACGAGGAAGCGACUGUAGAUUCGGGAACUGGUGGAGAGAAGGGGAGACGCGAGGAACCAAAGAGUACCGAGGGGCGUCGCGUCGAGUAGAAGAGCUCCCCGCUGUUCCAGGAGGGUGUCGGAGGGUGCAACAGGGACCGCGAACUUUAGGGUGGAGGUGGCACGCGAGAGAGUCGAAGCUUGGCUCCGCCUCCGGCACGCGACCAGCACGCGACCAUCGCCAUCGACCACGCCGUCGGUCUAAGCCGCCGCCGCCGCCACCACCGCCGCCGCCGCCGCCACCGCCACCGUCACCACCGCCGCCACCGCCACCGCCACCGCCACAGCCGCCACUACUUUACCGUUACCAUUACCACCGCGUCCUUCUCAUCUCCACUAGCUUCAUCUACGAUUACGCAAGGAUCAAACCCCCAUUCGCAUCAGUCUCUGCUCGAUCUCUCACACUCCUAUAUUUUUCCUACUCUUCCUCUGUUCUUUCGUAUCAUUUCCAAUCUUUAAACGAUACAAAUCUCUUUUAUGUUCAUCAUUUCUAUCGCAGAAGGCUUGACCCGUCGAUUUUUCCUUACAACUUUCUUCCACCCUUUUGCUAUUUAUAGCUAUCUUAUUCUUUCUCAACCGUCGUAUCUAUAUAGCCCUGUGUCUAUAUUACCACUAUAAUGAAUUAUCGAACACACAUAUCGUGACAUCAAAUCAAAUAAUUUCGCGAUGAGAAUUUUGCCGUUUAAUGUUCGCAAUUGUUUUAUAGACUAUUCGUCGUGCCAAUAUUUACUCAAUCGAUUUCUUCUUCGUUAUAAUCGUAAUAACUUCGAUAUGCUAAUUGUAAAAAGACCGACGCAGAGAAAUCGAGAAAAAUCGCGCGUUUUAUUUUCAUUUAUCAUAUUUUCUUUUCGAUAUAUAUCCGUACUUUUCUCGCGAUUCAUUUUUAUCUACCAACUAACCAGUCGAGCAACCACUUACAAUCAAUCCGUCGAUUAAUCAAUCGCUCAGUUGUCGGUCAGUCAAUCGAUGAAUGAGCUAUACAGCGAACCAAUCAGUUAAAUAACCAGUUAGUCAUCCAGUUAGACAGCUUGUAUUCUGUCUUCUACCAACCUUGUAUCAUCGGCUUCUUUCUAUUCUAUUCUACUCUCGUGUAAUCAAUUUCAAACUUAAAUGAAAUACUCUGGUGAAAUAUGAGGCUCAUUUCCGUCUCCCCACCUUCUCUUCUUUCCUCGCACAACUUUUUCCAUUUACUCAAUUUUUUUUGUUUCGUUUCACUCGUGGAUUACCUCGUUCAAUUUUUCUUUUUUUACCGCAAUUGAAACCACUACUGCUUGUUAUUUUUUCAGAUUUAUUAUUUUCAGAGAUCGUCUACUAAAUUUUUGAUAAAAAGUAGUAAAAAAAAAGGGAGACACAGUUCUGUGGUACGGAGCUUCUAGCGUUAAGCGAUGUGUAAGCGACCGCGGAAGAAUGAUACGUAAAGACAAAGUGCGAAUAACGGAAUAUUCGACUUAAGCAAGUACAUCUAUUUUCUUUUUAUUGACAAUAAUAAUAAAUAUAAAAAAAACAACUCGUAUAUAGUAAUUAGCAUAACGAAGAAUAUCGCACUGUAUAUGGUUUAUAAAUUGUAUAACCACACACGCAUACACACACACAUAUAAACUAUCUGACUAGCAUCAUUCAUUCGCUUUUCUUACCGUUCUUAUCUACUCCACCUUCUCACCAUUCUAUCAUUCACUUUUGUUUUAAGCUUUCAAAAGAAAAAAAGCUAAAAAUACUUCAAUGCGAAAUUAAAUUUCAAGAGGAUGCGAGCAAGUAACAAAACUUCUUUUUCUUUGGAACAAAACAAUGAGACGUCGCGACUCAACUAUGAGUUUAAAAUAAAUGACAUAAAUUCAUACCAAUACGAUUUAAGGGUUUAAUGAAUCUUUUUUAAUCGUAUCCAUCAAAACCUUAAACGUUUAAUUAAUCCUUUUCCUCCUGCUCAUCGUCUUUAAAGAUACAUUAAAAAGCAAUCU